CUGGCAUGUGUCUGCUGCACCAUAAGGUAAUGUACUGAAUAAAGACAGAAAGAGCCACGGAAGUCCCAGAGCUGAUCAAUAACAAGGCCUCUAAGGAGGUGUGUAAGCUCUGCCUUCAGAAGAGCAGUGAAAGAGUGGGGACCACGCACCUGGAGCAUCCCUGAGCAGUGCUGCAAGGUAGACAGUACCUGUUGUUACCAUAGGAUACAUGGAGAAGUUUGGGCCUGUUUAUCAGAUUGGGCCUGUUUAUCAGAAUGGACUGCAGAAAGGAUGCUGAGGCAGGGAGAAGGCCCGCGUGGCUUGAAACUGUCUUAUUUUGAGCUGCUUUACACUCCACUUGUAAGGAAGAAGGCAGAGUUCAGAU
rnacentral:lncRNA from 1 species